ACUUGAAACUUGAAAGUGGUCUCAUGGAAGAAAGUCAAGAAACUACAUUGUUGCUCAUUAUUGUUAUUUGUUAUUGUUGGCACUUGAAACUUGAAAGUGGUCUCAUGGAAGAGGCUACAUUGUUUGUUGUUUGUUAUUGUUGACAGUUGAAACUUGAAGGUGGUCUCAUGGAAGAGGCUACAUUGUUUGUUGUUUGUUAUUGUUGACAGUUGAAACUUGAAGGUGGUCUCAUGGAAGAGGCUACAUUGUUUGUUGUUUGUUAUUGUUGACAGUUGAAACUUGAAGGUGGUCUCAUGGAAGAGGCUACAUUGUUUGUUGUUUGUUAUUGUUGACAGUUGAAACUUGAAGGUGGUCUCAUGGAAGAGGCUACAUUGUUUGUUGUUUGUUAUUGUUGACAGUUGAAACUUGAAGGUGGUCUCAUGGAAGAGGCUACAUUGUUUGUUGCUCAUUAUUGUUGUUUGUUAUUGUUGGCACUUGAAACUUGAA